GCUUCUACUGGUGAUAUGGGAAGGGCCCACUCACUGAACUAACUCCCUUCCCUCUACUCCCAGAGCCCGCCCGGCAGGACCACCGAGCAAGGCCUUGGAAAACCAGAGAGAUUAGAGCGAAUGGGGAAAUGGAGAGAGAACCUGAAAGAGCCCCAAACUCGAGGACCUAUUGCUCCCCAAGAAUAACAUCUUCCAGAAGAACUAGACAGAAAACUAGGCGUCUGGGAACUCUGAAAUCCUUGGAGGAGUAGCAUCAUCAUGACCCUCUGUGUUCCUUUUGGCAAAGGACUUGCUCCCAUUGUUUGCUUGUUCCAUUGUCUGUCUGUUAAAUAAAUAAAACCCUUUUCAUAUAUCUUUAAACUUAAAAAAAAAAAAAAAAAAAAAAAAAAAAAAAAAAAAA
rnacentral:lncRNA from 1 species